rnacentral:rRNA from 1 species
AGGGUUUGAUCCUGGCUCAGAACGAACGUUGGCGGCGUGGAUUAGGCAUGCAGGUCGAGCGAAUCUCGUGGGGGCAACUCUGCGGGGGAAGCGGCGAAAGGGGCAGUAAGGCAUGGGUAACCUACCCCGAGGUCGGGCAUAGCCAUCCUAACGGGUGGGUAAUUCCCGGCGUGUCACCUGGGUCGCAUGGCCUGGGUGGGAAAGAGUUUCGCCUUGGGAGGGGCUCAUGUGGUAUUAGCUAGUUGGUGAGGUGACGGCUCACCAAGGCCAAGAUGCCUAGCGGGUGUGAGAGCACGACCCGCGCCACUGGCACUGUGACACUGGCCACACUCCUACGGGAGGCUGCAGUCGAGGAUCUUCGGCAAUGGGCGCAAGCCUGACCGAGCGACGCCGCGUGUGCGAUGAAGGCCUUCGGGUUGUAAAGCACUUUCGGAGGGGAGGAAGGGCAACUUGACCGACCCUCAGAAGAAGCACGGGCUAAGUUCGUGCCAGCAGCCGCGGUAGGACGAACCGUGCGAACGUUGUUCGGAAUCACUGGGCUUAAAGGGCGCGUAGGCGGUCCCGCGCGUCCGGGGUGAAAGCCUCCAGCUUAACUGGAGAAGUGCCCCGGAUACGGCGGGACUCGAGCGGGAUAGGGGCGUGUGGAACUUCCGGUGGAGCGGUGAAAUGCGUAGAUAUCGGAAGGAACGCCGGUGGCGAAAGCGACACGCUGGAUCCCUCCUGACGCUGAGGCGCGAAAGCCAGGGGAGCAAACGGGAUUAGAUACCCCGGUAGUCCUGGCCCUAAACGAUGGGUACUAGACUGUAGACUGACAUGGGUUUACAGUCGAAGCAAAAGUGUUAAGUACCCCGCCUGGGGAGUAUGGUCGCAAGGCUGAAACUCAAAGGAAUUGACGGGGGCUCACACAAGCGGUGGAGCAUGUGGCUUAAUUCGAGGCUACGCGAAGAACCUUAUCCUGGGCUUGACAUGUUCGAAAGAGGUGGGAAGUACCCUGCGGAAACGUAAGGGGAACGGUAUCCAAUCCGGAACCUACCACAGGUGCUGCAUGGCUGUCGUCAGCUCGUGUCGUGAGAUGUCGGGUUAAGUCCCAUAACGAGCGCAACCCUUGUCUUCAGUUGCCAGCGGGUCAAGCCGGGGACUCUGGAGAGACUGCCGGUGUUAAACCGGAGGAAGGUGGGGAUGACGUCAAGUCCUCAUGGCCUUUAUGCCCAGGGCUGCACACGUGCUACAAUGGCACGCACAAAGGGAAGCAAGCCCGCGAGGGGGAGCUAAUCCCAAAAAAACGUGCCUCAGUUCAGAUUGAAGGCUGCAACUCGCCUUCAUGAAGCUGGAAUCGCUAGUAAUCGCGGGUCAGCAACACCGCGGUGAAUGUGUUCCUGAGCCUUGUACACACCGCCCGUCAAGCCACGAAAGGGAGGAGCCGCCGAAGUCGCCUUAACCGGUGCCGAAGCGGAGAUUCCUGAUUGGGACUAAGUCGUAACAAGGUA